rnacentral:rRNA from 1 species
ACACACACACUCACGAC